UAUAAAGUUUUCUAGGGUUCCGUAACUUUUUAGUUAGUCUGGUCCAAGAGAAAACGCACAGAAAGACUGUGAACACGGAAGGAUAAAAGCCUGGGAGAU
rfam:Clostridium perfringens E str. JGS1987 gcontig_1106202897252, whole genome shotgun sequence.